CGAAAGCCUGACGGAGCAAUACCGCGUGAGGGAUGAAAGCCUGUGGGUUGUAAACCUCUUUUCUCAAGGAAGAAGUUCUGACGGUACUUGAGGAAUAAGCAUCGGCUAACUCUGUGCCAGCAGCCGCGGUAAUACAGAGGAUGCAAGCGUUAUCCGGAAUCACUGGGCAUAAAGCGUCUGUAGGUUGCUUGCCAAGUCUGCUGUUAAAGAUCAGGGCUUAACCCUGGGAAAGCAGUGGAGACUAGUAGGCUUGAGUGUGGUAGAGGUAGAGGGAAUUCCUGGUGUAGCGGUGAAAUGCGUAGAUAUUAGGAAGAACACCAAUGGCGAAAGCACUCUACUGGGCCACAACUGACACUGAGAGACGACAGCUAGGGGAGCAAAUG
rnacentral:rRNA from 1 species